UGCAUCCCGAAGCUGGGCGCCGACGAGCUCCGACGGUCCGGAUUGACCUCUCCCCAGUCCGCUCGUCGCGGCGGCGCAGUGGUGGCGCAGACAAGAGCGGUAAGCAUGGUGGAGAGCCAGCCGCUGAAGGUCUUUCAGACAUUGUGGUUACUUGGAUAAUCACAAAUUUCAGCAGGAUCAAUAGGAUGAAGCACUACUUGGAUGUGUUUGUUAUAGGUGCAUACAAAUGUUGAGCCCUUCCUCUUCACUUAUUACAAGAUGCAACAGUAGAAUGAUUUCUGAAUGUUUUAUCUUGAUAACAUCAGUGGCUUGCUUUGAUGCAGGUGUGUUCUUCUUUUCCCCAAAGGGAAUAAAGUGGAGCACCUUUUGAUGUAAGUACUUGAUACUCAACCAACCUCCCAUACGAUUCGAACUGAUCUGCUCAAUUUAUCUUGGCGCAGAAGGUUCCCUGACGGGACGGUGUCCGACACAGCAGCUACGACCGCGGCAGGCCACUGACGAUGUGCAUCGGUGCAGGCAAGGUGCAAAGAAUUCAGUCACCAAAAAGUACAAAUUCAACCUCUUCACAAGAUGGAAGCUAACUGAAGCUGUGACCACACUAAAGGGCUGCAGUGUGUGAAGAACAGCUACGCCUCAAUGGCUGAGUACCUAGGCAUCCUCGAACCGCUGCUGGUCUGUGUGGUUCCAGAAGGUUCCAGUGGUGUGUCGUACGUUGCCGACAUUAUUCCCCUUGAAGAAAUGAAGGAAAUAACCAAGAAUUUCAGCAGUGAUGCUCUUAUGGGAGAGGGGUUGGCAUGCGGGAGUUCUAUUUGGUGUACUGAAAAAUGGCAAGAAAUGUGUGGUAAAGAUGACCGACUCUAGCAAACAGCGUGACCAAGAUUCCCUUGCGUAGGUUCAGACCCUAUUUUGUUCUCACAUGAUCUCUCUUUUGCAAGUGUUGGUUGUUUCAAGACUCAAGCAUGACAAUGUCAUACAGUCUGCGACAAGGUUUACACCAUGGUGAGGAACAGUAACUAAGCAUUCUACUUUCAUAGACUCUUAGUGUGUUGCAUUCACGACAGAAGCUUUCAGCCUCAAAUUGCAUAACGCUUGUUGAGGUAAAAAGGGUGUCAAGGGAUCCCAGCCAGGAUAAGUCUUAUCAUCGAUCCAUCGGGCUUUUUCUUUUAGGCAUUUUCUCACAUCAAAAAUUAUUUCCAGUGUCCUAUGGACAUAAGAAUUGAAGCAAAUCUCUGAAAGUUAAUAACUUGCGAUAACUCCUUUCUACACAUUGGCCAAAACUUCUGUACUGGUGAUAAACUAUCAUGAUGGAGCCAAGGUUGCUGUAUGAAAUCUCAAUUGUUAUCAGAGAUCUGCACCUUCGCGAAUCUACGGCCAUAUCUUUCUGGUACCUGAAGCCUGGUGUCUACUGAACUGAGCGCUGCAACUUAAUGGAGCAGUUACACCCAAUUUCUUAUUUCCUAGACAUUGAUAGCCUGAGUGUGCUUGAGGGACAUUUUCCGAGUAUGAUGGCCUGUUCCUACAUUAAGAGUGCAUAUCAUGUACACGCCACAAGGAAAUGGAUGAUGCGACAAAGAGGCAGGGGAGGACGCGAUUGUAGUGGCAGCAACAAGGAGGCAAGGGAUGAGGAUGAGAUGUUUUUCGCCUUAGCAGCGGGGAUGGGGCUGUCCUCGCACUGGCGGCGGAGAGGCAGGUCGUUCGGAGAGAUAGUGAGAGGGAGUGAGCUUGAGAGUGGAGAAUUGGGAUUAUGAGUGAGGCUGAGUUUUUCUUCUGAUGUGUCCAUGUCCGUUCGGCUAUUUAGCAUUAACGAGUUCUUUUUUGUCUAUAUAAAGGUCAAGAUUGUAAAGGGUUCAUACAAAAUGUUUGUAAAGGGAUUAAAACAUAUGUUAUUUAAGAUCGUUUUAAAUUUAA